CGCGGAAUUUUAACCGUGCAAAGGUAGCAUAAUCAUUAGGUUUUUAAUUAGAAUCUUGUAUGAAUGGUUCGACAAAAGAAGUACUGUCUUUGUAUUAAAAUUUGAAUUUAACUUUUAAGUGAAAAGGCUUAAAUAUAUUAAAGGGACGAUAAGACCCUAUAAAACUUUACAUUGUAAUUUUAUUUAAUUAAAUUUAUAAAAUAAAAAUUUGAUUUAAUUAUAUGUUAUGUUGGGGAGACAGAAGUAAAAUAAAUUUUAACUGCUUUAUGUUAAAACAUAUAUUUAUGAAAUAUUAAAUGAUCCUUUAUAAAGAUUAAAAGAUUAAGUUACUUUAGGGAUAACAGCGUUAUUUUUUUUGAGAGUUCCUAUCGAAAAGAAAGUUUGCGACCUCGAUGUUGAAUUAAAAUAUCUUUAUAGUGCAGAAGCUAUAAAAGAAGGUCUGUUCGACCUUUAAAUUUUUACAUGAUUUGAGUUCA
rnacentral:rRNA from 1 species